AAUGAACGUUGGCGGCGUGGAUUAGGCAUGCGAGUCGAACGAACCAGCAAUGGUUAGUGGCGGAAGGGAGAGUAAUGCGUGGGAAUCUGCCCCUGGGACUGGGAUAGCUACGGGAAACUGUAGGUAAUACCAGAUAAUAUCUCUGGAUCAAAGGCGCGUACCGCCUGGGGAUGAGCCCGCGUCCUAUUAGGUAGUUGGUGAGGUAACGGCUCACCAAGCCAUAGAUGGGUAGCAGGUGUGAGAGCACGACCUGCCUCACUGGGACUGAGACACUGCCCAGACACCUACGGGUGGCUGCAGUCGAGAAUCUUCGGCAAUGAGCGCAAGCUUGACCGAGCGACGCCGCGUGCGGGAUGGAGGCCUUCGGGUUGUAAACCGCUUUUCGGGAGGAUGAAGUGUUGGAGCACAUCCAAUUUGACAUAUUCCCGGAAUAAGUACGGGCUAAGUUCGUGCCAGCCGCCGCGGUAAAAC
rnacentral:rRNA from 1 species